AUGAAGAUCCUUUCUUUGACCUCAAGUUCUUCCGGCUGUGAGAGAAAUUGGAGUUGUUUUGAGUCGAUACACACCAAGAGGAGAAAUAGACUUACAACAGAUCGCCUCAAUCAGCUUGUGUACAUCCAGUUCCACUCAAGACUGUUAUCCAAGAAGAAAAAGAUCAAGCAGAGGAAGAACAUUGAUGUUCUCCUCAGUACUGAUGCAUCCGAAGCACAAGGCUUCUUGUUUGAGGGAGGAGAUGAUCAUGCUUUCAUAGUGUUUCCAGAUGGAGAUGAGGGAGCAGAUAGCAUACCUUGGAGUGUGGUUGGAGAUGCUAUGGGAACUAGUGAACAACUUGAGCUUCGUCGAAGUGCAAGGGUUAGAGAUCUCCAUGAUGAAGAGUUUGAGUCAGAUGAAGAAGAAGUAGAGGAGACAGAUUCAGAGGAGGAGGACAUAGAGUACGAGGAUGAUGAAGAUGAAGUGGUGACUGGGCGCACUUAUGCGGAUGAGGACUGA
rnacentral:rRNA from 1 species